rnacentral:rRNA from 1 species
GACGAAUGCUGGCGGCGUGCCUAAUACAUGCAAGUCGAGCGAAGUUUUUCUGGUGCUUGCACUAGAAAAACUUAGCGGCGAACGGGUGAGUAACACGUAAAGAACCUGCCUCAUAGACUGGGACAACUAUUGGAAACGAUAGCUAAUACCGGAUAACAGUAUUUCUCGCAUGAGAGAUAUUUAAAAGUUGGUUAUGCUAACACUAUGAGAUGGCUUUGCGGUGCAUUAGCUAGUUGGUGGGGUAAAGGCCCACCAAGGCGACGAUGCAUAGCCGACCUGAGAGGGUGAUCGGCCACACUGGGACUGAGACACGGCCCAGACUCCUACGGGAGGCAGCAGUAGGGAAUCUUCCGCAAUGGGCGAAAGCCUGACGGAGCAACGCCGCGUGAGUGAAGAAGGAUUUCGGUUCGUAAAGCUCUGUUGUUAGGGAAGAAUGGAUAUGUAGUAACUAUACAUGUAAGAGACGGUACCUAACCAGAAAGCCACGGCUAACUACGUG